rnacentral:pre_miRNA from 1 species
GAAGUACUCCCUCCGUCCGGAAAUACUUGUCAUCAAAAUGGAUGAAAAGAGAUGUAUCUAAAACUAAAAUACGUCUAGAUACAUCCCCUUUUAUCCAUUUUGAUGACAAGUAUUUCCGGACGGAGGGAGUACCAA